AGCAGCCGCCGCGGUAAUACGUAGGUGGCGAGCGUUGUCCGGAAUUACUGGGCGUAAAGGGAGCGCAGGCGGACAUAUAAGUCCAUCUUAAAAGUGCGGGGCUCAACCCCGUGAGGGGAUGGAAACUGUAUGCCUUGAGUGCAGGAGAGGAAAGCGGAAUUCCCAGUGUAGCGGUGAAAUGCGUAGAUAUUGGGAGGAACACCAGUGGCGAAGGCGGCUUUCUGGACUGUAACUGACGCUGAGGCUCGAAAGCCAGGGGAGCGAACGGGAUUAGAUACCCCCGUAGUCCCUGUCUCUUAUACC
rnacentral:rRNA from 1 species